UACGUAGGGAGCGAGCGUUACUCGGAAUCACUGGGCAUAAAGGGCGUGUAGGCGGGUGCGUAAGUCUGGUGUAAAAGCCCUCGGCUCAACCGGGGAAUGCCACUGGAAACUGCGUACCUUGAGUGCAGGAGGGGAGAGCGGAACUCUUGGUGGAGCGGUGAAAUGCGUAGAUAUCAAGAGGAACGCCGGCGGCGAAAGCGGCUCUCUGGCCUGUUACUGACGCUGAGGCGCGAAAGCCAGGGGAGCGAACGGGAUUAGAUACCCCUGUA
rnacentral:rRNA from 1 species